GCUCCAGUAACUAUUAUCUGUGGCAUUAUUCCUAUAUGCUUCAACUCCUGCAGGUGAAGGAAGCCAAUUUGCGUGUAUUAAAUGGACCAAAUGUUUUAUUUCAUUUAUGGGGUAAACAUCAACUUGAUAAACAAUAUCUCUUCGACAACCUUUCCCUGGUAAUAUGCCAUUGAAAAAACGCAGGAUCAUGAGAAGAAAGCUUUCGUUCCUUGAAUCACUAGGCAUGUCAGUCAUGAUAAACAACUUCCAAAUAACAAAAAAUGGAAGUUGAUUCUCAAGCAAAAUCAUAUCUCGUGCUAUGGAAGGUAACAUCCAACCUAGUUUAAAAUUUGGGUCAUCAUCUCCUCUCAAAUGUUUCAACCUAAACUUGCGAAUAACCUCAACAAUAAAGCAACCAUCGAGAAGCAUCAUUUGCACAAACUCAUCUCUGUUUAAACUUAUAGAUCCUCCAUAACACUUUCGAGCUCUUUCUUCCAAUGCCCUCAUGGCCAUGACAUAGUCUGACAAAGGUAUACGAGUACGCUCUAGAAGUUUUUUAAGAUAGCGAGUUUUGUGCUCUUCAACUGCUGUACGGCCAAGGCGGAUGUACGGUACAGCAGUAGUGCAGGAACACGAUGCUCUUUCUAAGGAAUAGUAUAGAGAAGCAUAUUCUUCCCAGAUUCUUCCUCAGGAAUCUCUCUUUCCACCUAUCUUCCAAACCAUCUGCCAUGUGAUCACCAUCGGCCUUAAUUGCAUUGGGCUCCAAGAUUGUAAUGUAUGUGUUAAUUCAUGUUUUGUACCAUGUACAUGGCUAAUAAAUUAAACAAGGCCCUUUCAUCAAGCUUAUAAAGGGAGUAAGCCGAAACUAAUACUUUGAUGAUGCGUCGUUGCAGUUGCUUGUUUGAAUGCCAUUUGCUUGCAAGUGAUUUACUCUUGAUUUUCUGAUCUGCAGAUUGAUUCUAUCGCUCCUCUUUCAUUUUGAUGAAACAUAAUGUUAACUAAUGAUAGAAGAAUUUCAUCUUAUUGAAAUUGUUAGACUUGAAAUUCGAGACAGAUAUAACGCGUCCAAACUAUCCGCGAUGUGAUCACCAAUGCCAUGAGUAAUAUUUACAUAUUAUUUAACCUGCAUCUUCUAUUUAGUAAUGCUCGCAUUUGACAUUGCACACUAACAAAAUUUAACUCAGUACCUUGUUUAGUGUCGAAUAAGUCGUAUUAUAUUUGACAAACCAAAUAAGCAACAACUGUAAAUAAAGUUUAUACAAAUUUAAGAAGAAGAAUGGACAAUCACUACAUUUAACCAUCUUGACUCAUGUCUACAAUACCACAGUAGCUACUGUAUCUGCUUCUAUAUUCAAUGGCUUUGCGCUUGUUGAUAAUAAGAAAGAACUGCAAACAGAGCUUGCUGCAACGUUAGGAGAAGUAGGAAAAGAGCAGCAAGAACGGAGAUGAUUGCCCAUGGAGUGUUGAAAUAAUUGUGCCUCAACUUGGCCAUCCACUUAUUACGACGCCUACUGCAAUGCAAAAUCACUUUGUUGAAAACCUCACGGUAAUAGAACUUCUCACCGAGUACAACGCCAUCACAAAGCUUGUUCAAUAAGGUUGCAAUCACUUCAUCAUCUCCUAACAAAUUCUCAAUUAUUCCACGACGGCGGAGUAAUUCAGCAUCCUUUGAAGAAUUGAUGAGGCAGUUCAGGAAUUCGACAUAAUCGAUUACAUGCUUCAGAUUUAAGUCUUGGGAACACUGCUCGUAUGCAAUGAAAUUCUGUAAAAUUGUUUCUGUAGCAUCACCAAUUUCCAAGGACGGCAUCUUCAUUACCCCAUUUUCGAACUUAAUAUCGAACAAGGAAUCAUCUUUAAGGACCUCAACCUUCCGGAAGCGGAUUCCAGCCUCUCGAAUCUCUAUGGCAGAACCAAUGAAGCUCCAGUAACUAUUAUCUGUGGCAUUAUUCCUAUAUGCUUCAACUCCUGCAGGUGAAGGAAGCCAAUUUGCGUGUAUUAAAUGGACCAAAUGUUUUAUUUCAUUUAUGGGGUAAACAUCAACUUGAUAAACAAUAUCUCUUCGACAACCUUUCCCUGGUAAUAUGCCAUUGAAAAAACGCAGGAUCAUGAGAAGAAAGCUUUCGUUCCUUGAAUCACUAGGCAUGUCAGUCAUGAUAAACAACUUCCAAAUAACAAAAAAUGGAAGUUGAUUCUCAAGCAAAAUCAUAUCUCGUGCUAUGGAAGGUAACAUCCAACCUAGUUUAAAAUUUGGGUCAUCAUCUCCUCUCAAAUGUUUCAACCUAAACUUGCGAAUAACCUCAACAAUAAAGCAACCAUCGAGAAGCAUCAUUUGCACAAACUCAUCUCUGUUUAAACUUAUAGAUCCUCCAUAACACUUUCGAGCUCUUUCUUCCAAUGCCCUCAUGGCCAUGACAUAGUCUGACAAAGGUAUACGAGUACGCUCUAGAAGUUUUUUAAGAUAGCGAGUUUUGUGCUCUUCAACUGCUGUACGGCCAAGGCGGAUGUACGGUACAGCAGUAGUGCAGGAACACGAUGCUCUUUCUAAGGAAUAGUAUAGAGAAGCAUAUUCUAUUAUGGGAUCCGAUGAGAGUCAUUGCACCCGAACCUGCUCUGAUUAAUUAGAGAAAAACGAUUCCGAACUUUGUAUGCAUUGCGAACCUGAAUCUGAACCUGAACCAGUCCAAAUUUAUCGUCCAUGUAAGUUUGAAUUUAGGUAGAUUCAGCAUGUACUUAAAGAACAUGCUUAAAGCUUAAUCAAUUCAAAAAGUAACUUGUAUAAUACUAUGGUUCUGUUAAUUAAAAUUCCAGUUUUAUUUCGAAUUCAACAUUAGCAUCAUCCAACCAUACCACCCAACGAUAAGAUGCAUAUGGAUGUUCUUGGAAAAUUGAUGGGUGAAGCAGACACGCAACUAAAGUGAAAUUGAAAAAUAAUAAGACAAUGGAAUCACACAGGGACACCAGAAAUUGCCAAAGCCGGUGACCUUAACAAGAAAAAUUCAAAUUGGCUUUGACAGCCACCAAUCUAGAAGGAUUUGGUGCCGCUCAAAGAAAAAGAAGAAGAAUUUGGCAGCAGCAAAUUGGAAUGAAGAAAAAGAAGAAUGAAGAAAAUAGAAGAAUGAAGACGGUGGUAAAAAUAAUAAUAAUUUGAUAGCCAUGUUUUGGCUAUAAAAGGGCGAGCUCCCCAUUUCAUUUGGCAUCCAAUGUUUUGAGAGGCAUUCAAUUUGUGAGAGAGAAAAACCAAAGAGUUUUGUAGAGCUUAAUAAUAAAAGCUCUUGUGUUUAGUGAUUUGAGAGUUUGGGUGUAUUAAGGUUUUGGGUAGUGAGCUAAAAUACUACAGUACUUGUAAUUCAUUUUUUACUAGUAUAAUAUUUUCCUUCAGUUUUCGCCCGUGGACGUAGGCUGAAAGGCGAACCACGUAAUUUAUAGUGUUCUCUUUUGUGCUUGUUCUUUAUUUUCUUCCAAUUUCACUUUAGUUGCGUGUCUGCUUCACCCAUCAAUUUCUUAACAGUUGUAUUAGAGUUAUUGGUUGUAUUUUUUGAGUCGGCUACUGUUCACGUAUACGAAACUAUUCACGUAUACAUACUAUCCACACAUACAAUACUAUUCACGUAUACGACACUGUUCACAUAUACGGUACUGUUCAUGAGAAACGGUGGGAGUGAUCCAAGAAUUUUGCAGUGCAAAGCAAAUAAUAGUGAUGUGAGUAAAGCAAUUGUGUGGUUUUGUACAUGUCUAGGAAAGUUCUGUCACAAAUGCGAUAAGAGCUUAAGGAGUCUGGGUUUUAAGUUGGACCAUUGUGACCCCUCCAGGCUUUCUUGGGAACUUUUCUGGUGUGCAUUCUCACACAUACUCACAACUAUUCAAGGUGGUACACUAACUUGUGUGCGGUAUUUAUCAACAAAAUGACGGCAAAGUAUGAAAUUGAGAAGUUUAACGGAAAUAAUUUUUCGUUGUGGAAAAUGAAGAUGAAAGCUGCAUUGAGGAAAAAUAAUUGUUUGGCAGCAAUUGGAGAAAGGCCCAUGGAGAUAACUGAUGACAAGUGGAACGAGAUAGAUGGCAACGCCAUUUCUAAUCUACACUUGGCACUUGCAGAUGGAGUAUUAUCUAGUGUGGCAAAAAAUACAGCGAAGGAAAUAUGAGAUAAUCUUACAAAAUUGUACGAGGACAAGUCACUACACAACAAAAUCUUCUUGAAGCGGAGACUUUAUACUCUUCGAAUGGUGGAAUCUACAAUGGUGACUGACCACAUCAACACCUUGAAGACUCUAUUUUCACAACUCACAAUGUUGGGUCAUAAUAUAGAAGAAAAUGAACGUGCAGAGCUUCUAUUUCAAAGUCUACCAGAUUCAUAUGAUCAACUCAUCAUCAAACUGACGAACAAUAAUCCAGCAGACAGUCUAGUUUUUGACGAUGUUGCAGCCUCCGUAUUAAAUGAGGAGAGUAGACAAAAAAAUAAAGAAAACAGAUAAGAAAGUUCGCAACAAGCGGAUGCGCUAUUGGUAAUGAGAGGGAGAUCAACAGAACGUGGCCCCAGUGGGAGUCCCAAUCAUGGUAGAUCAAAAUCCAUAUGUAAAAAGAAUGUUAAAUGCUACAACUGUAGCAAGAAAGGGCACGUCAAGAAAGAAUGUUGAAGUAACCAGAAAGAAGAGAGGACAAAGAACUCGAGUCAUCAAAUGCUCAGGGAUGUGUAGCAAGUACCUAGGAUGAUGGCGAAAUUCUCUACAGUGAGGCAACAACUAUUUCAGAAGGCAAAAAAUGACUAUAUGAUGUUUGACUUAUAGACUCAUGAGCUACCUGGCAUAUGAACCUAUCUCAGGAGGAUCUGUAUAUAUAGGAGAUGAUCAUGCCUUGGAGAUCGCUGGUAUUGGUACUAUCAAAAUACAAAUGUUUGAUGGUACAAUUCGCAUAAUUAGGGAGGUACGACAUGUCAACGGCUUGAAGAAAAAUUUAUUGUCUUUGGGACAAACAGAUAGUCAUGGGUAUAAAACUCAUUUGAAGAAUGGAAUUAUGAAGAUUGUUAAAGGUGCGCUUGUAUUGAUGAAGGCAGAAAAGAUCGGUGCUAAUCUAUUUAUGCUUAAAGGAGAAACACUACAGGAGGCUGAUGCGUGUGUCGCGUCAACUAGAGAAGAAUCAACGAUGAUGUGGCAUCUCAAACUUGGCCACAUGUCAGAAUAAGGUUUGAAGAUUCUCUCUGAGCGAAAAUUACUUCCGGGGCUCAAAUCGGUAAGUUUACCAUUUUGCGAGCAUUAUCUUACAAGUAAGCAGAAUAAAUUAAAAUUCAGUAGAUCUGUUGUUAGAAGUAAAUGCAUUCUAGACUUGAUUCAUUUUGAUGUUUGGGAAUCAUCGGAUAUGUCCAUGGGAGGUGCAAAGUACAUGGUGACUUUCAUUGAUGAUUAUUCCAGGAGAUAUUGGGUGUAUCCAAUUAAAAAAAAGUCAGAUGUAUUUCCAGUGUUUAAAGAAUACAAAGCGCGGGCGAAACUUGAAUCUGGUAAAAGGAUCAAGUGCUUGAGGACAGAUAAUGGUGGAGAGUAUACAGACAACGAGUUUUUUGCUUUCUGUAAGCAAGAAGGUAUUCAGAGACGGUUCACGGUGGCAUACACUCCUCAACAAAAUGGAGUGGCAGAACAUAUUAAUAGAACUCUUAUAGAACGGAUAAGAGCUAUGUUAAGGACUACUGGUCUACCUAAUUCAAUCUGGGCAGAAGCAGCCAAAACUGCCUGUUAUAUAGUAAAUUGAUCGUCAUCUACAACUAUUGGGCUGAAGACAUCGAUUGAAAUGUGGACUGGAAAGCCAGUUGAUUAUUCCUACCUACAUGCAUUUGGAUGUCCUGGGUAUGUGAUGUACAAUGCUCAAGAAAGAACAAGGCUGGAUCCAAAAUCUAGAAGAUGUAUCUUCUUGGGGUAUGCUGAUGGAGUAAAGGGGUAUCGUCUGUGGGAUCCCACUGCCCACAAGAUCGUCAUCAGCAAAGAUGUUAUCUUUAUAAAAGAUCAACUGCAAAGGAGAGAUGAUGGCACUGCAAAAGAAAAGUUAGAGACUGUGACGGUAUAUGUGGAAAAUAAUCCAGAAGAUUCAGAUUCUUCAAAAACAGCACUAGAGCACGAAGAACAAGAACCAGUCGAGUCUGAGGCUCCAGAAGUUCGUUGGUCAACUCGUGAGAGACGACCGCAAAUGUGGCACUUGGAGUAUGUCACAGAGAUCAACGUUGCAUACUGUCUUCUAAUAGAAGAUAGAGAGCCUUCAACUUUCCAUGAAACUUUAAACAGCUCAGAAGUUGCUUUGUGGAUGACAGCAAUGCAGGAAGAAAUUGAAGCUCUACACAAGAACAAAACAUGGGAACUUAUACCACUACCACACAGAAGAAAAGCCAUUGGUAACAAAUGGGUCUAUAAGAUCAAACGUGAUAGUAAUGACCAAGUGGAGCGGUAUCGUGCAAGAUUGGUGGUGAAAUGAUAUGCUCAGAAAGAAGGUAUUGACUUUAACGAGAUAUUUUCUCUGGUGGUUUGACUCACAACAGUCAGAAUAGUCUUGGCAAUGUGUGCUACAUUUGACUUACAUGUAGAGCAGUUAGAUGUGAAAACUGCAUUUCUUCAUGGAGAACUUAAAGAAGAAAUAUAUAUGCUCCAUCCAGAAGGUUUUUCAUAAAUAGGAAAUGAGAACUUAGUUUGUAGGUUGAACAAAUCUUUAUACGGUCUCAAACAGGCCCGAUGUGUUGGUAUAAGAGAUUUGAUUCCUUCAUCAUGAGCCUUGGAUACAACAGAGUCAGUUCAGACCAUUGUGCAUAUUACAAAAGAUGUGAAGAUAGUGAUUUUAUUAUUUUACUAUUUUACUGUUGUAUGUGGAUGACAUGUUAGUAGCAGGCCCUAACAAAGAUCGAAUCUAAGAAUUGAUGGCACAAUUGGCUAGGGAGUUUGAAAUGAAGGAUUUAAGACCAGCAAACAAGAUUCUAGGGAUGCAAAUUCACCGAGACAGAAAUAACAGGAAGAUUUGUCUUUCACAGAAGAAUUACUUGAAGAAAAUCUUGUGGCUCUUCAACAUGCAAGAUUGUAAGUCAAUUUCUACCCAACUUCCUGUUAAUUUCAAAUUAUCCUCAAGUAUGUGUCCUGGCAAUAAAGCAGAAACGAAGGAUAUGUCUCAAGUACUGUAUGCAUCAGUAGUGUGAAGUUUGAUAUUCGCUAUGAUAUGUACUAGAUCAGACAUUGCACAAGCAGUGGGAGCAGUCAGUCGAUACAUGGCGAAUCCUGGUGGAGAGCAUUGGAUAGCUGUGAAGAGGAUUCUAAGAUACAUCAAAGGAACUUCAGAUGUUGCAUUAUGUUAUGGGGGAUCAAAGUUUACUGUCAGGGGCUGUGUGGAUUCAGAUUUUGCAGGAGAUCUUGAUAAAAGGAAAUCCACUACUAGCUAUGUGUUUACGCUUGCGGGAGCAGCUGCAAGCUAGGUUUCUAAACUGCAGACUAUUGUGACUUUAUCUACAACAGAAGCAGAAUACAUGGCAGCUACACAAACUUGUAAGGAAGCUAUUUGGAUACAAAGGUUAUUGGAGGAGCUCGGGCACAAACAAGAGAAAAUUUCUAUGUAUUGUGACAGUCAGAGUGCCUUGCACAUUGCAAGGAAUCCAGUCUUUCAUUCAAGGACCAAGCAUAUAGGAGUUCAGUAACACUUUGUUCGAGAAGUAGUGGAAGAUGGAAGUGUGGAUUUACAGAAAAUUCAUACGAAGGAGAACCUAGCAAAUGUUAUGACCAAGCCAAUCAAUGCUGACAAGUUUAUCUGGAGUAGAUCUUCUUGUGGCCUAGCAGAAAUGUAGGCAACAUGAUAAUGGCAAAACAGAAAGGAUGGUGUGGAGAUUGAUUGGUCCUUAAUCUAAUCUCCAAGUGGGAGAAAUGUCAAAGCCGGUGGCCUUAACAAGCCAAAUUCAAAUUGGCUUUGACAGCCACCAAUCUAGAAAGAUUUGGUGCCGAUCAAAGAAAAAGAAGAAGAAUUUGGUAGUAGCAAAUUUGGAAUGAAGAAAAAAGAAGAAAGAAGAAAAUAGAAGAAUGAAGAUGGUGGUAAAAAUAAUAAUAAUUUAAUAGCCAUUUUUUGGCUAUAAAAGGGAGAGCUCCCAAUUUCAUUUGGCAUCCAAUUUUUUUAGAGGCAUUCAAUUUGUGAGAGAGAAAAACCAGAGAGUUUUGUAGAGCUUAAAUAAUAAAAACUCUUAUGUUUAGUGAUUUGAGAGUUUGAGUGUAUUGGGGUUUUGGGUAGUGAGCUAAAAUACUACAGUACUUGUAACUCCUUUUUCACUAGUAUAAUAUUUUCCUUCUGUCUUUGCCCGUGAACGUAAGCUCAAAGCCGAACCACGUAAUUUCUGAUGUUCUCUUUUGUGCUUGUUCUUUAUUUUAUUACAAUUUUCAUUUUAGCUGCGUAUCUGCUUCACCCACCAAUUUCCUAACAUAAAUUAGUGGUUCGGCUUUUAGGCUACGUCCACAGGUAAAAACAAAAAAAAAAACAUAUUUUACUAGUGAAAAGUAUUGUAGUAUUUUAACUCACUUCCCAAAACUCCAUAGAUCAGGAUUGAUUCGUGAUGAGCGUCGAGAAGGACUUGAAUGGAGGAAUUAGAUGGUUUGGCAUGAAUUUUAAGUUCUUUCGCUGCAGUUUGCGUUUUAUAUUUGUAUUUUCAAGGAUAUAAUUUUUAUAGAUUGUAUAAAGAUUAUUAUUAUUUAUUAUUAUUUUAUAUUUAAGUAUCUAUCAGUAAGAUUCGCCAUGUGGAGGUCGGGGCGGGUCGUUACAUAUAUAGUAACCAUCAAGCAUUGUAGCGUAAUAAGAGAACUUGCAUGGUCAAUUGUGAUGGAAUAGUUAUUGAUGCUAAGAUUUUAUUCUCCUACCAUUAAAAGGUAGAGAUAGAUAUCUCUCCCACAAAUAUGGGUAGAGCUCAUAUAUGCCCAGAUGUUAGUGGGGUAUAUGCCAGAAAAUAAAAACAAACACAGUGAGUAAAACAAAUAAACCCAGUAGGUACAUAAACUGUAGCAACGUAAACAACAACUGGAAAUCACAAAUAGAAAAUAGCAGGGGAAAGAAAAAUCGAAACAGAAAAUAAAACCCGAGGCCUAAACAUGACAGUUUCCUUAAAAACAGAUUUACCACCUACUGAAGUGCUUUAGGUCUGUUGUAACUGUUUUCCAAGAUACAAUGGGGACGAAUUUUCGGUCAAGCACAGACAGAUAAUUCCGGCAAACCACAACAGUGGUUAACUCGAUCAACAAAUGCUUUGUGUGCUGGUUUAAGCGUGUGCAAAAACAGAAGAGAAGUGCCUUUUCGAAUUCAAUAUAUGCAAUUAAAUAGUUAUAACAGCCAAUUCAAUUCACUCAAUUGAUUUCAAAAACGUGCCAUGCAAGGUUGGAUGAUUUUGGGCUGACAUUUGCGUACGCAAGAUGCGCAGGCGCACAUGAGUUCAACCAAAUCAGUCUUGGAUUUUGCACGCACAUGAGUUCAACCAAAUCAGUCUUGGAUUUUGCACCCCAUGCGCAUGUGAAGAAAGUCUCUAUCCUCAUAAUUCUUAUUCAUACAUGGUUAAGUGUUUAUAUAUAAACACUAAUCCCUUGGCUUCUUUUUCCCAUGUGGGAUAAGCCUAAUUUCCUUUCAAAUUUCCAACUUCAAGGGUGAUCUUUGAGAGACAAUUUCUCAUUCACCCAAGUACCAUUUUGAAAAAAUAAAAUUACACUUUUGAAGUAUUAACGGAAUAGAAUCCGAACCUCACAAGAUUUCUCACUUUUACUAAGUGGGACCCAUUUAAAAUGUGCCCUCAAAAUAGCAUAUAGACAUGCUCUUUUUUCAACAGUAUAUAUAUCACUAUAUUAUGGGCUAUAAUAUGAUAGAAUUGAUUUAGAUUAGUCUAAAUGGAUCCUUGAUUGUAAAUAUUGGUGUAAAAUAUUAGUAAAACUCUGAUUGUAUUAAAAGAAGUUACAUAUGUGGAGGAAAAAAAAGAAGAGUUAGAUAAAAAUUGUGGUUAAAAUCGUUAGCUAAGACUAAUAAAAUACUAUAAGGCAUGCUUUUAGGUGUAAAACAUGAGGAACGCCAUUUAAUAUGGUAGAUUUGGUUGAAUUAGAUGAAACUAAACGGGAUUGGAUAUGAUUAAUACGUACUUAUGGUCAGUAAUUUCAUCAGCCAUCACUUGCUUUUAGAAAAUGUACAGUGAAGAAGUAAUUGGAAAUAUGUUAAAAUUUGAAGUUGCGGUUCAGCCACAACUUUUAAAGGAACCCAAAACUCAAAAUUAUACAAGACAGUACCAGCUGGAUCUAGGAUCUGGAAUCCCAUAUGGCCUGGUCUUUCUGACGUAUAAAAUUAAACAAGUGCCUCUGCAAAAUUCCUAGCUAGGACCAAUUAAAGAGACAUCAAAUUAAGAUUUGGUUUAUUUAAUUAAUGAACGCUUCAUUGAACUUGCUUAAAAAUAAACCAAGGGUUUAGAUUACAUCAGUGAAUACAACAAAGGAUGACAAACUCAUAGUAUACUUUCGUCUUCAUUUUAAUUCCUUUCGUGACUCACGUCCUUAUCUUGCAGUGUUCUCGGUUGUUCUAGGCCAAAACCUUGUAGAGGCUCCCGUAUCAACCAUAUGAUUGAGAGCACUUCUGAUCGUCACAAGGGAACCAUCUGAUUUGCAGAAAUUUUUCAAUUAUGGCUUCCCACGGAAAAUCAUUUCAUAGGCGCAUUCUGUAGAACACCUGCGAACGCGUAUCAACACCUUAUUUUUUUACUGUGACUGAAGGUGUGUAUGAUACAAUAAACGUGGCAAACACACGCCUCAAAUUGACAUUUUAUUUCUAAUUUUCUAUCAUUACUACAACCACAAGAGUGCCUCAAAAUUGAAACAGAGCCUGUCGUUUAUUUAAAUAGGCAACAACUGGUAAUAAAAUGUGUACAAAAUUGAGAAGAAGCAUGUGAAAUAACUACAACCAUCUUGAUUCAUGUCUCCAAUGCCAUGAUCACUGCAGAUGCUCCCAUAUUCAGUAACUGUGCGUUUGUAAACAGUGCUUGCACAAAGGUUAGUGGAAGCAGGAAAGCAGCAGCGAGAAAGAAGAAGAUUGCUCAUGGAGUAUUGGCAUUAUAAAUGUGCCUCAACUUGGCCUUUCACUUAUUACGACGCCCAAUGCAAUGCAAACUUUAUUGAUAACUGAUUAGGAGAUGAUCUUCAUUACCCCGUUUUCGAACUUUAUAUCAAACAAGGAACCAUCCUUAAGGACGUCAACCUUCUGGAGCUCGUAACGAAGCGGGAACUAUAAACGAACAAAGUUCUGAAUUAAAAUUAAGAGUUGUAGACAUUCUAAGGUUUCGCUCCUUUAAUACAUAGAAUGCAAAAUUACCAAAAGGGACAUAACUAAACAUAAAAUAAAAUUCUGAUGUCUGAAAUAAUUGAAAAAAUGCGUGCAAUUAGAGAUAAUUUCCUAUCGAUCCGGAGGCCAAUAAGCUUUGAAAAGAAGUUAGCUCCGUCUUUCCAUAUGCUUCAAUAUUGUAUGUUAUACGCACAAAAUGGAUACCUGUAGCUCAAAUAACAACCUGGGAAGAUAAAGGUCAUGUUCUACGUCAACCCGAUUCCAGCAUCUUUGAUCUCUAUCGCAGAUUCGCAGAAUAGACGAAGCUCCAGUCACUAUUCUUUAUACCAUAUAUUAUUCCUAUACGCUUCAAUUCCUGCAGGGGAAGUGUUGCGAAUGAUUUGGUGUACAAAUGCUAAACCAAUCGCCUCAAGACCUAAUCCUAGUUAAAGACUAAUUAAUGAACUUAAGAACGAAAGUUUAAUCACACUUAAGGGAAAAUAAAGAUUGGGCCUUGUUGUUUGGAGAAACUAAGCAAAAUCCCCUUCAUGUUUUAAAAUAUAUCUAAACCACUCUAUUAGUUAAAACGGUGUCAACUUUAUAUAUUAUUUUACUAUCUUAUCCCUAGUCCUGAUGUUUGUAGGGAUGGAUGCGGUUCGGUUCGGUUCGGUUCGUUUUGUUAUACAUGAAUGGAUUGAACAAAACUAUCAAUCCUUUUCCUUAUCUCUUCUGGAUUGGCACCCACUAGCUUGUCGAAUACAAUUAAAUUGUAUAGGUUUCUCUUUUGUUUUAUCUUUUUCACCUAUAGUUCUAUCCAGGCUCCAGUAUUUAUUUGGUCAUUCUUAUUUCAUUUCCUUUUCAAUUUCAAGCUUUCAAAAUGUUGUGGGAUUCUUUUAUAAUUGUUUCAUUUUAUGAUAAUUAAUACUGGAGCGGUUUCUUAAUGUCAUUGAGUAUCUGCUUAAUGUCUAGAGUCUGCAGAUUGAGUUUCACUAACAUGUUCAUGCCUGCAGCUGCAACUAGUAACAUGAAAUCAUUUUUGAAGUUUUUCUGGAAUUUGAAUGGAAAUUAACUUGAACAAAAUAUUUAGAUGUUCAAUACAAGUCCUCUACUUGAACUCUGACCCAUCUCAGUGUUGAUAAAUGAAAACCAAAACAUUGAAACUGUUGGCAAGCUCAAAGUGAUUUCCACUGCAAUUUCAGAAGAAUGCCAAUAAUAUACACUUUACAAUAGUGAUUCUCAACGUAAGCAAUCUCAAACACGAAUUGAUUUACAACUUAAAUUUCUUAAAACACAUCGAGCAUAAUUUGCUCUUAAAUCAUCAAAACAAAAAGGAUCGUGUGCUCUGAAACUUCAUCAUUGGCCAUUAAACCCGAACUAAUUGGACUCUCUAUAUACACACACACAACUUCAAUCAUCAACAUAAAACAAGAAAAACGACAUGGAUUACAAUCAUCAAAGAAAGAAAUGAAAUAUGGAACCUUUUUCGUUUUAUUUUUUGUUCUGCUGAGAGUUUUUGGUGACAGUGGCAGCAGCAGCAGAUGACAGCGGCUGCAGCAGGUGGUAACGGCGGCGGAGACUCAGCGACGAGCAGCAGCGGCAAAUUAGAUUCGUGAAGGACGAGCAGCGGUGACGACUGAAGAGCUGGGGCAACGAGCAGUGGCGACGACGAGAUUGCAGUGGCGGCGACGAGCAGCGGGGACGAGAUUCCAGCGGCUGAAGGUGCUGCGGCUGAAGAAUGAAGAUAAGAAGAAGAAGUGUUUAGUUUAGAAUUUAGGGAUUGGUAUUUUUAAUUUCGGUUCAGUUUUUUGAUUUUUUUUUUAAAACCGAAAACCGAACCAACUGAUUUUACUACUUUUGUUAUAUUACUACUUUGGUUUUUUGGAUGCAAAACAAUUGCAUAAAAAUUCGGUUCGGUUUUUGAUUAAUCAACGUUUUUUGCCCACGCUUAGACGUUUGCCAUUAAAUUUGAAUAUUUUGAGAAUAUGAAUAAAGUAAAAUGAUGUAUAUACCCUUGAUGAUUAAAUUAAUUUAAUAAUAAAUUGUAAGUUAUGGAGAAAUAUCAACUGAUUUGUAAAUGUAAGUUCUUUUUAGUUUUUAUUUUUUAUAAUCAUUUAUAGUAUUAAAAUAUGAACUUUCCUAUUAAAAACUUAUUUGUGUCUGUUAUGAUUUUGAUAUAUCGGUUUAAGGGUAUUAAAAGUUUGAACUUUUAAUUUGUUCUUUUUUUUUUUAAUUAUAAUGUUUGUGGAAGGUUGCUAAAUGAGGUCUGAUUUUGUUGGUAUAGUGAUUUGGACAAAAGAAAAUUUUAAAACUUCUCUUCAAGUUUAUUUUCUUUCAGGUAUUCUUGAAAUAAUGAUAGUAAUGUCCAUUAUUAUUGUGCUCAGAUGCCUAACGUGGAUGUUUUUGUUAAUUUUGAUGGGAAGAAAUUUGAAUUAGGGGUCUGGUAUGUUGAUUGUUCGAGUUAGGUUGCUAAUAUUUCUCCAUAAUUUUUAAUUCAUUAUUAAAUUUAUUUAAUUAUUAAGGAAAUAUAACAUCAAGACUAAAGUUAAUAGGCAAACCCUAUCUUACAUGCAUGUAAGAUACAUCCCCCUCACAUGAAUAGUGCAUGUGUGGGACCCACACACUAUUCAUGUGAGAGGAAUGUAUCUUACAUGCAUGUAAGAUAGAAGGACCCAAGUUAAUAUCAUUAUAACUGCAGGGGUUUUAGACCUGUUUUAAAAUAUGAGGAGGUUUCAUUUAGUUUCUCCAAACAUAAUCUUCAUUUUCCUCAUUUGUAAAUGUUGACUAGACUUCAUAUUUUGUAUAAUAACUUUUGAUGAUACUUCAUUGAACUUACUUGUAAGUAACUUUUGCUUGGUAGUGAAGUACUCUUGAUUUUCUGAUUUGCAGAUUGAUUACGCUCAUCUUUAUUUUUGAUGACGCACAAUAUUAACUAAUGAUACAGGAACCUCAUCUUCAAGUCUUUAAAGUAAAGCUUGGAGCUCCAAUAGAUUAAUCAUAAAUUCUUUUAAAACAAUUCUUAAUUUUUAUAAUACCCAUUUAUUAUAUAAAUUAAUAAUUAUCUAAUUUGAAAUUAAAUACAUAUGAUAUAAUUAUGUGAUUUUUGUAAAAGAUGUGCUCAGUUCGCUUUCUUCUUCUUGAAAUUGAUCAAGCACUCUAAAAAUGCUCAACAAAGAUGGUGUAGGAGUAAAUAGACUAGGAAGCCUUUUCACAACACAGUCAACUGGUCAAGUACUAGGAUCAGCAGCCAUAACUCUUAGAAAUUAUACGGGUUCCUCUGCUUACGCCAACGAGUUACAUAAUAGGAUGGUCAAGUUACUAUUUCUCAUAGCUUAUUUUGCAUUGAAUUUGAUUGAAAAUCAUAGAGCUAAGUGUCGAUCGAUCUAGGAUCUUGAUUCUCAAUAUGGCUUAGUCUUUACUUCAUCAGCAUAAAAUUAAACAAUAAACCAAGCAAAAUUCCUAGGGCCAGUUAAUAAGGAAUCAAACGAAAAGUCGAUGUAUGAUAGAUGUUUCAUUGAACUUACUUGAUUGAAGGUGACGAGCUCUUGAUUUUCUCUGCAGAAAUUGAAUGUUAACUAAUGAUACAAGAUCACAUCUCUUACAUGGUUAAGAAAUAUUAUACUGAUUUUUGUAUUAGUUUCAAAAUUGUUGCUGUUGUUAAAUCCCCCAGUGAACCUUUUAUGCCCAAACAACGACAAUUUAUGUGAAUUAAGAAUUAUUCUGAGCUAGCUAGCAACUCAAGUUAUGUAUGAUACAAUAAACAUGGCUACCACUACUCUCAAAUUGACAUUUCUAUCACUAUUACCACCACAAGUCUGCCUCCCUGUUGAAACAGAACUUGUUAUUUAUCAACUUCAACAGUUUAAAAUAAGCAGAAGAAGGUAGAAGCAGAAGAACCAGCAGGGAAAAAAGGAUAUGAAUAUACCUGUACCUCAAGUUGGGCCAGAUAUUCAUCACCCACCUUUUUCAAAUAGAGGGGAAACAAACCUCUCGGCUCAGGGCCUCCGUCCAGAGGGAGGGUUCCCUUGUGCUGGAUUUGAUCCGGGCUGACUUGGCCCAUUAGCAUUAGCUUUAUAGCUGCAGUCGUUUGGCUAUUGUUUUGCUGAUUUGGUGAGUGGGACUCUUGGUAGGGUUCCAGCUUUUUCAAAAGAUAUGAAAAAUAUCUCUUCCGCCGAGGGGAGGAUUCAUUGGAUUUGAUCCGGGCUGACUUGGCCCAUUAGCAUUAGCAUUUGCUGCAUUGUAGGGUUCUAUCUUUUUUGAUAGAUGUGAAAAAACUCUCUUCCGCAGUGGGCCGCUAUCCGGGCUGACUUGGCCCAUUAGCAUUGGCUGCAGCCGUUUGCUGAAUUUGUGAUUGGGAGCCUUGGUGGGUUCCAUCUUUUCGAAUAGAGGUGAAUAAACUUUCUUCCGCGUAGGGGGAGGGCUCACCGGAUUUGAUCUGGGCUGACUUGGCCCAUUAUAUUAGCUGCAGUAUAGGGUUUCAUCUUUUCCAAUGGACGUGAAAAAACUCUCUUCCGCCAAGAGGGGUUCACUAGAUCUGAUUCGGGCUGACUUGGCCCAUUGAAAAAACUCUAUUAGCUGCAGUAAUGCACGCAUUCAAAGAAGUCGUAUUAUAUUUGACAAACCAAAUAAGCAACAACUGUAAAUAAAGUUUAUACAAAUUUAAGAAGAAGAAUGGACAAUCACUACAUUUAACCAUCUUGACUCAGGUCUACGAUACCACAGUAGCUACUGUACCUGCUUUUAUAUUCAAUGGCUUUGCGCUUGUUGAUAAUAAGAAAUAACUGCAAACAGAGACUGCAGCAACGUUAGGAGAAGUAGGACAACAGCAGCAAGAACGGAGAUGAUUGCCCAUGGAGUGUUAAAAUAAUUGUGCCUCAACUUGGCCAUCCACUUAUUACGACGCCUACUGCAAUGGUAAAUCACUUUGUUAAAAACCUCCCGGUAAUAGAACUCCUCACCGAGUACAACGCCAUCACAAAGCUUGUUCAAUAAGGUUGCAAUCACUUCAUCAUCUCCUAACAAAUUCUCAAUUAUUCCACGACGGCGGAGUAAUUCAGCAUCCUUUGAAGAAUUGAUGAGGCAGUUCAGGAAUUCGACAUAAUCGAUUACAUGCUUCAGAUUUAAGUCUUGAGAACACUGCUCGUAUGCAAUGAAAUUCUGUAAAAUAGUUUCUGUAGCAUCAGCAAUUUCCAAGGACGGCAUAUUCAUUACCCCAUUUUCGAACUUAAUAUUGAACAAGGAAUCAUCUUUAAGGACCUCAACCUUCCGGAAGUGGAUUCCAGCGUCUUGAAUCUCCGUGGCAGAACCAAUGAUGCUCCAAUAACUAUUAUUUGUGGCAUUAUUCCUAUAUGCUUCAAUUCCUGCGAAAAAACGCAGGAUCAUGACAAGAAAGUUUUCGUUCCUUGAAUCACUAGGCAUGUCAGUCAUCAUAAACAACUUCCAAAUAACAAAAAAUGGAAGUUGAUUCUCAAGCAAAAUCAUAUCUCGUGCUAUGGAAGGUAACAUCCAACCUAGUUUAGGAAUUGGGUCAUCAUCUCCUCUCAAAUGAAUCAACCUAAACUUGCGAAUAACCUCAACAAUAAAGCAACCAUCGAGAAGCAUCAUUUGCACAAACUCAUCUCUGUUUAAACUUGUGGACCCUCCAUAACACUUUCGAGCUCUUUCUUCCAAUGCCCUCAUGGCCAUGACAGUGUCUGACAAAGGUAUACGAGUACGCUCUAGAAGUUUUUUAAGAUAGCGAGUUUUGUGCUCUUCAAAGGCCAAUAAUUGUUCUU
rnacentral:lncRNA from 1 species